CGCCGUGCAGGCCGUGUACCGGGCCGUCGGGUACUUCGGCUCGCCGAUCGCGGGCGCGCCGUUCGACGCGGCGCGCGGCGUC
rnacentral:tRNA from 1 species